rnacentral:rRNA from 1 species
GACGGGGGAUGCGAGCGUUAUCCGGAAUGAUUGGGCGUAAAGGGUCCGCAGGUGGCCCGGUCAGUCCGCUGUCAAAGCCCGGGGCUCAACCCCGGGAGGCGGGUGGAUACUGUCAAGCUCGAGUCCGGAAGAGGAGUGUGGAAUUCCUGGUGUAGCGGUGAAAUGCGCAGAUAUCAGGAGGAACACCAAUGGCGAAGGCAGCACUCUGGGACGUGACUGACGCUGAGACGCGAAAGCGUGGGGAGCAAACAGG